rnacentral:lncRNA from 1 species
CUCCAAAGACUUUUCAUGCAAAAACUCAUUUUAUUUAAUACUUAAAAAUCAUAAAACACAUUAAAACAUUUUUAUAAAACAUGAUUCUACCCUUCUAGAGGUCUCCGACAUCCGACAUUCCACCGGACGGUAGGAAUUCCGAUACCGGAGUCUAGCCGGGUAUUACAUUCUCCCCCCCUUAAGAACAUUCGUCCCUGAAUGUUCCUCAAC